rnacentral:rRNA from 1 species
GAAGUUGGAGUCGCUAGUAAUCGCAGAUCAGCAACGCUGCGGUGAAUACGUUCCCGGGCCUUGUACACACCGCCCGUCACGUCAUGAAAGUCGGUAACACCCGAAGCCGGUGGCCUAACCCCUUGUGGGAGGGAGCCGUCGAAGGUGGGGUUGGCGAUUGGGACGAAGUCGUAACAAGGUAGCCGUACCGGAAGGUGCGGCUGGAUCACCUCCUUU